rnacentral:rRNA from 1 species
AUUGAACGCUGGCGGCAGGCCUAACACAUGCAAGUCGAACGAGUGGCGGACGGGUGAGUAAUGGCUGGGAAACUGCCUGAUGGAGGGGGAUAACUACUGGAAACGGUAGCUAAUACCGCAUACCAUCAGAUGUGCCCAGAUGGGAUUAGCGAGUGGGUGGGGUAACGGCUAACCUAGGCGACGAUCCCUAGCUGGUCUGAGAGGAUGACCAGCCACACUGGAACUGAGACACGGUCCAGACUCCUACGGGAGGCAGCAGUGGGGAAUAUUGCACAAUGGGCGCAAGCCUGAUGCAGCGACGCCGCGUGUGUGAAGAAGGCCUUCGGGUUGUAAAGCACUUUCAGCGGGGAGGCGUUACCCGCAGAAGAAGCACCGGCUAACUCCGUGCCAGCAGCCGCGGUAAUUC